UCCGGCUUAUCACCGGCGGUUUCUUUAGAGUGCCCAACUAAAUGAUGGCAACUAAAGACGAGGGUUGCGCUCGUUGCGGGACUUAACCCAACAUCUCACGACACGAGCUGACGACAACCAUGCACCACCUGUCACUCUGUUCCCCGAAGGGAAACGUCCUAUCUCUAGGAGUGUCAGAGGAUGUCAAGACCUGGUAAGGUUCUUCGCGUUGCUUCGAAUUAAACCACAUGCUCCGCCGCUUGUGCGGGCCCCCGUCAAUUCCUUUGAGUUUUAGCCUUGCGGCCGUACUCCCCAGGCGGGGUGCUUAAUGCGUUAGCUUCGGCACGGACGGGGUCGAUAUCCGCCCACACCUAGCACCCAACGUUUACGGCUAGGACUAC
rnacentral:misc_RNA from 1 species